UGAAACUCAAAGGAAUUGACGGGGGCCCGCACAAGCGGAGGAACAUGUGGUUUAAUUCGAUGAUACGCGAGGAACCUUACCCGGGCUUGAAAGUUAGUGACCGUUUUAGAGAUAGAAUUUCGCAGCAAUGCGCACGAAACUAGGUGCUGCAUGGUUGUCGUCAGCUCGUGCCGUGAGGUGUCGGCUUAAGUGCCACAACGAGCGCAACCCUUACCGUCGGUUGCCAGCGGGUAAUGCCGGGGACUUCGAUGGGACUGCCACCGUAAGGUGUGAGGAAGGUGGGGAUGACGUCAAAUCAGCACGGCCCUUACGUCCGGGGCGACACACGUGUUACAAUGGUCGGUACAGAGGGCUGCUACUAGGCGACUAGAUGCUAAUCUCGAAAGCCGAUCUCAGUUCGGAUCGGAGUUUGCAACUUGACUCCGUGAAGUUGGAUUCGCUAGUAAUCGCAUAUCAGCCAUGAUGCGGUGAAUACGUUCCCGGGCCUUGUACACACCGCCCGU
rnacentral:rRNA from 1 species